rnacentral:rRNA from 1 species
GAUGAACGCUGGCGGCGUGCCUAAUACAUGCAAGUCGAGCGAACGGACGAGAAGCUUGCUUCUCUGAUGUUAGCGGCGGACGGGUGAGUAACACGUGGAUAACCUACCUAUAAGACUGGGAUAACUUCGGGAAACCGGAGCUAAUACCGGAUGAUAUUUUGAACCGCAUGGUUCAAAAGUGAAAGACGGUCUUGCUGUCACUUAUAGAUGGAUCCGCGCUGCAUUAGCUAGUUGGUAAGGUAACGGCUUACCAAGGCAACGAUGCAUAGCCGACCUGAGAGGGUGAUCGGCCACACUGGAACUGAGACACGGUCCAGACUCCUGCGGGAGGCAGCAGUAGGGAAUCUUCCGCAAUGGGCGAAAGCCUGACGGAGCAACGCCGCGUGAGUGAUGAAGGUCUUCGGAUCGUAAAGCUCUGUUAUUAGGGAAGAACAUAUGUGUAAGUAACUGUGCACAUCUUGACGGUACCUAAUCAGAAAGCCACGGCUAACUACGUG